rnacentral:rRNA from 1 species
AACGAACGCUGGCGGCAUGCCUAACACAUGCCAGUCGAACGAGACCUUCGGGCCUAGUGGCGCACGGGUGCGUAACGCCGGGGAACCUGCCCGUAGGUUCGGAAUAACUCCCCGAGAGGGGUGCUAAUACCGCUUAAUGUCUUCGGACCAAAGAUGUAUCGCCGUUGGCUGGGCCCGCGUUGGAUUAGCUAGUUGGUAGGGUAAAAGCCUACCAAGGCGACGAUCCAUAGCUGGUCGGAGAGGAGGAUCAGCCGCGCUGGGGCUGAGGCACGGCCCAGAAUCCUACGCGAGGGAGCAGUGGGGAGUAUUGGACGAGGGGCGCAAGCCUGAUAACGCAACGCGGGGUGAGUGGUGAAGGGCUUAGGGUUGUACAGCUGUUUUAGACGGGGUGAUAAUGACAGUAACGGGUGAAUAAGCACCGGCUAACUACGUG